AGCUCUGAGGUGUUUAACAUGUAAGAUUGCAAAUCUUAAGUGGCAUAUUGACGUUUGCCGGGGCUU
rnacentral:tRNA from 1 species